UAUAGGUCACGAGCUACGACGUGAGAUUUUGGAAGCAGCGCUAAGAGAUGGUGAUUAUGAUGAUACAGAGCUGGAUGGCCAGGAGUAGUUCUAGUAUAAAGACUUAGAGAG